AUGCAUCGACGCGACUGGAGGCGCUCGAGUCACCGCCGACGCGCCCCCAAGGCCCAACCAGCGCGACCACAACGCCUCCGUCUGUGGUGGUGCACGCGCAUGGCGGGGAGCGGCCCAGUGGGCACAACGGGCAUCACCAGCAACGAGGGCCGGUUUUGGGGGAUCCCCGUUCCCCAAAUCCGCCUCCGGCCAAUGGUAUGCCCUCCUUCGCCACGUUUGCCGUCCGGGAGUCCUUUUGUGAAGCGCCGAUUUUUGCACCCUACCCCUCGACCACACUUGGGCAGCACACCCGAAAUGGAUUUUCCUAAAUUCGAUGGGGAAGAUUACCAAGUUUGGUUGGACAAUUGUGAACCGUAUUUCGAGAUUUAUGGGGUGUCUGAGCCGAUGAAAUUAAAGUUUGCCGCUCUCAACUGUGUUGGGAACGCGGCGUUGUGGCUAAAAAUGGCCCAGAAACGCCGGCAGUUUGUGCAUUGGCACGACCUGCGCACUGCAGUUCAGGAGAUGUGGGGGAAGAACAAGCACAAAUUCCACAUGCGCCAGUUGCUACUGCUUAACAGACUAGCUCGGUAG
rnacentral:rRNA from 1 species